CGGGUGUAUAGCUCAGUUGGUAGAGCAAUCGGCUGUUAACCGAUUUGUCGUAGGUUCGAAUCCUGCUAUACCCGU
rnacentral:tRNA from 1 species